rnacentral:rRNA from 2 species
AGGUGCGAUCAUACCAGCACUAAUGCACCGGAUCCCAUCAGAACUCCCCAGUUAAGUGUGCUUGGGCGAGAGUAGUACUAGGAUGGGUGACCUCCUGGGAAGUCCUCGUGUUGCACCUC